CACUGUCCUGUGUGUAGGGUGAUUCUGGCUGCAGAACGGGCAGGGGCCCGAGACGUGGGGGGCGCACUGCCACGACAGCUGUUGCUGUUUCUGAGGAAGCGUCCCUCCCUUUGCCUGCAGUGUCACUCAUUCACUCCUUCCUCCUUAUCCCCCCAGGCUCCCAGAGGCUGGAUACACAUGCCACCACCUCCCUGAAGCACCCCCCCCUGGGGGGCUGGCAUCAGCUGCUCUUUCCAGAGGGCAAGGUUGUUAGUUCCUCAUCAUGACCGGAGCUGUAGUCACGCGACCCCGAGCACACAGGACACAGGGCUGCAGGCUUGCCAGGACAAUGGGCAGAGCCUAUGCCAGAGAACCCGGCUGUCCUUUCUAUCAUUGCAGCACCCUGUCACACUGCGUUUUCAGGAUCACGAGAGUCAGCCUCUCCCAGGAGCCUGCGUUGUCCAGGGAGGACUGGCACCGAGUGCCCAGAGGGGGCUGAGCUGAGCUGAGCUGGGACCUAAGUGCCUAUGAGAGGCCAGAUGCCAACAAGCUAGUAGGAGCUUUACGAUUGCAUCUGUACCUGGCCUGUUUCCACUGGACAGCACUGGUCUAGACGGUGAGCACAUUGUGAGAGUACCCCCCGCUGCCCAUGCGUGCCCGCCCUGGAGCUGGAGCUUCCUCGAUUGUGGAGCUGACACCCAGCUGCUUAGGUGGUUGUGGAAGGAGCCCUUGGUGGAGGGUAGCCACAGUGUCCCCAUAGACAAAGGCUGGUGGUCCAGGGCCGUAAGCCUCUGCCCCUCCCUCCUCCAGGGCAUAAAGUAGCUGUAGUAGGUGUGGCUUAUAAGUGGACGUUUGUAAGACGGUCCCGCUCCACACCAGGUGCUCUGCUCAGCCCCCGACUCUAGUCCUCAGUCCUGGGCACCGAGGCUGGGGGCUUGGCAGGGGGCCUGCUUGACUCUGCCUGGAGAUAGGAAGGGGCUGCCUCCGUGAGACAGGUCUGGCUGGAUGGUCCAGGCCGAAAGCACGUGAGGGCCUCGGAAGUGGAAAGAGUUGGCAGACAGGACUUCGGAAGAGGCAGCCAUGCAGCUGAGGAGGUCUGCGUGGAGAGGAAGGAGGCAUCAGUUCCUUCAGGAGACAGCAGAUCUGGGGGCGGAGAUAGCUGGUGUUUGAGCGUGUUCUGUGGCACCUGUCAGUGUGCGUGUAAGUCGGCUGGCGGGGUGUGGCCAGGCCUGGUACGAGGAGAGGGAGGCAGCUCCGGGAGGGCGCAGCUGGGGUACAAAGCCAGACCCAUUAGAUCCUCCCAGACUCCCGGGAGGCCUUGCAAGAGAAAAUCCACAUCCAGGCUGAGCUUGGUGAAUGUCCCCACCAUCAGCGUCGUCAUUGGCACGAGCAUGGCACUGUCUCAUCCCUCGUCUCCAGUGUCCGCAGACGUGCCUGGCACCCAGCAGGCCUCAGAGGUCUUUUGUUCCCUUUAUCGCCGAGCCAAGUACUAAACAUAUAAGGUGACACUAUAAGUGACAGGAGGGUCGUAGAAAGCACCAGAAGGGCACGGAUUCCACACCAGUCGGGCCACAGAGAAUCAGAGCCACGGGACUAAGUGAGUAGUAUUCUGUUAGCUGCAGCAGGGCUCCGGAAAAACCCGAGAGACCUCUCACAAAACCACGCACUCGUUGGCUGAGCCCCUACCGCGUGCCCCGCACGGCUAGGAGCUGGGAGUGUGGCCGCGGACCAGCAGGCCAGGCCUCCGCUCUUAGGGGGCACAGACUCUGGACAGCUGCAAAUGUGCCCCCGGGGCUGGGGGGCACCGUGCGGGCACCUGACAAGGCCUGGUCCCACCUGCUGCUGACACGGCAGAGCUAGGGAUGGCGGAAAAGAGCACUUGUGGCUGAGGCAAACAGAAGCUUCUGCAGCGGCAAGGGGCAGAAACCUGGGAAGUGGGAGAUGGGGGGGGCGGGUGCCGGCUGUGCAUCGCCGGGGGCUCUUCGGGCCCUGCACGUGAUCUCUGGAAGCACGGGAGCUCUCAGGGACUCCCCAGCAAGAAUGCCAUCGUCCACUUAGCUUCCCCUGCCCUGGCUCUGGCAAGGUGCUAACGAGAGUCGGGAGCCCAGGAGACAGCCUUGGGCCCCUGGGGGAGCAGUGAGGCUGCUGGGCCGGACUGGUGGGGAGAGCUGGACGUCGGGUGACUCUCAAGGGCAGGACCCGGUCCUCUCGCUGCCAGCUGCGUCUGCACCCCUCCCUGCCGCCCUGCACAGCACCAGCUCUCCUCACGUCAGACAAAGGAUCAAAUAAGACAGGAAGGCGAGAGUCCUGAGCAUUGGUGGCGAUUACAGGGACGGACUUGGAGGCCUGGGGGAAGACAGAAGGGUGGAGCGUGGAAGAGGCCCGGAAUGCCCAUUGCCGAGUGCAGGCUGGCUGCGGCCGGUCCUGAGCAGCCGCGUUCCUGCCCGAGAAGUGACGCGGCUGAGCGACGUGGGCUCUGUGGGUCCUCCCAGGCCACAAAUGGUUAGGAGAACGUGGACCAGGAGAAUCACGUGGCCCUGGCUCAGAGAGGUGACACCUGGGGAAAUCACCUGCCUCUUUGGACCUCAGCUUUCUCAUCUGUAAAAUGGGAUAGCGCAGUGGCGGGGUGACUGGGCGGCAUGUGCAUUGCAGACAUCACUGGUGGAAAUCCCCAUGGGGGCCACCUGCUUGCCACGGCGGGCACUGGCAGGAUGCUGCCAGCAGGGGGAGGCAGAGAGCCGCCUUCCAGUCCUAGGGUUUCCGGGUGCUGGCAUCUGGGACACGCCGGGCUCCUGUAGCAUCCGGCCUGGGUGCAGCAGGAUGAAAGGUUUGGCUCCGCACAUCGCCCCUAGACUGCGGCCCUCUCCAGGGGCUUCUUCAUCUCUGACUCCCCCUGCCCCACCCACCCCUCCAGGACUGGGGUUGAGUCUCCCGAACACAGCAGGUGUUCCGUAAAUCCUCCGCGAGUCGAAUUUAAUGGGACAACAGAAAACGUGUAUUUUUCGAGCUCUGCGCUCAGUGAUCUAAUCCGCAGCUACGGGGGCCAGAAGGCGUUGUUUUCCGUCAAGAACGCCCGUAUUCCACACCGUCCUGUCCCCACGAGGGGCGCUGGUACCUGGUGAGGGCCUCGGCCAGGUGUGCACCGCCCGCUUUCCGUUGUCCAGACAAGGAAAUAAGGUAGAGAAUAAGUAGCUUAAGGUUA